rnacentral:rRNA from 1 species
UACGAAGGGGGCUAGCGUUGCUCGGAAUUACUGGGCGUAAAGCGCACGUAGGCGGCUUUCUAAGUCGGGGGUGAAAUCCUGGAGCUCAACUCCAGAACUGCCUUCGAUACUGGAAAGCUCGAGUCCGGGAGAGGUGAGUGGAACUGCGAGUGUAGAGGUGAAGUUCGUAGAUAUUCGCAAGAACACCAGUGGCGAAGGCGGCUCACUGGCCCGGUACUGACGCUGAGGUGCGAAAGCGUGGGGAGCAAACAGG